UACAGAGGGCUCAAGCGUUGUUCGGAUUCAUUGGGCGUAAAGGGUGCGUAGGUGGCGCCGUAAGUCAGGUGUGAAAUUUCGGAGCUUAACUCCGAAACUGCAUUUGAUACUGCGGUGCUUGAGGACUGGAGAGGAGACUGGAAUUUACGGUGUAGCAGUGAAAUGCGUAGAGAUCGUAAGGAAGACCAGUGGCGAAGGCGGGUCUCUGGACAGUAACUGACACUGAAGCACGAAGGCCAGGGGAGCAAACGGG
rnacentral:rRNA from 1 species